rnacentral:rRNA from 1 species
GACGAACGCUGGCGGCGUGCCUAAUACAUGCAAGUAGGACGCAGUUGCGAACGGGUGAGUAACGCGUAGGUAACUACCUAUUAGAGGGGGAUAACUAUUGGAAACGAUAGCUAAUACCGCCUACUAGUAGAUUGACCUGCGUUGUAUUAGCUAGUAGGUAGGGUAAUGGCCUACCUAGGCAACGAUACAUAGCCGACCUGGGAAGGGGAUCGGCCAAACUGGGACUGGGACAAGGGCCAGACUCCUACGGGAGGAAGCAGGAGGGAAUCUUCGGAAAUGGGGGGAACCCUGAACGAGCAAAGCCGCGGUAGUGAAGAAGGUUUUCGGAUCGUAAAGCUCUGUUGGUAAGGAAGCGGUACUUAACAAGAAAGGGACGGCUAACUACGUGCCAGCAGCCGCGGUAAUUC